rnacentral:lncRNA from 1 species
AACAAAAAAGCAGAAGAGAAAAAAAUGUCUAUUCAAAUAGAAAUUCUAAUCCAUCUAUUCCAUAAUAUCGACUCUUUGGGUAAAGGCAGUCAGGCAAGCUGUAUAUUUUCUGCAUAUCACUUGGGCUGACAAUCUGCAGUAAGGUUACAAGAACACAGGAACUCAAACUGAUUUUUCUGACGCACUAUACAUACCACGUCUCCAAGAAAAGUAUUAUCCAAUAUUAUCUCCAUUUUAUUCGGUGGAAAUUUAGGUUCAGACAAGCUAGAAAGUAGUUGGACCAACAGUCAAGCCUCCAGUUGGGUCCAAAGUCCCAGAUCCUUUCAAGAUAAUCUAUUUGGCUCUAAUGAUAUAUUGAACCAAACACCAUUCUGACAUUAAGAGAACUGACAUUGAAGGACCAAGAAAUAUGUUUUAUUUCAACUUAAGUACUCGGAACACUUCUCAUACCACUUGGUU